AUCUGGGCGGCGGAAUUCAGGAUGGCUGACGGGCUUCGCGCUUGUUCGGCCGUUUGAUAUUUCCGUCGCCGUGUCKGACGUCGCGACCUGUUUGCCGUCGGUCCUUGCUUGGAGGAACYGCGAUCGAGUUCAUKGCGCGGUACGUUUCGGCGUGCCGAACAGUGAAGACACGGCUCUCUGGCUGACGGUGGACAGUAAGCAACGGUGUCUGGCGUCGUGUACUCGACGUCGGUGCCGGUCUGCGACGAUUUCGUCGGGCCUCUUUCCGACCCGUCUUGAAACACGGACCAAGGAGUCUAACAUGCGCGCGAGUCGCGGGGUUUCGAGCGUGCCACGGUGCGCUCGUUACUUGCGAAACCCGUACGUUGAAGGCGUAAUGAAAGUGAAUGGGGAAGAUGGCGUUCCGAGUCCACGUACCGUGAUCGAGUGUCGCGGCCGGACGUCCGCACUCCCGGGGCGUCUCAAUGGCUCGUCGCGGAUGCGGACGGUCGUCUCUCGGGGCGGCCGUCGGUCUGCGUCGGACCGAGGCGCACCUAUAGCGUGCACGUUGGUACCCGAAAGAUGGUGAACUAUGCC
rnacentral:rRNA from 1 species